UACAGGGGGUGCAAACGUUGCUCGGAAUUAUUGGGCGUAAAGCGCGCGUAGGCGGCUACUUAAGUCGGAUGUGAAAGCCCUUGGCUCAACUGAGGAAGUGCACCCGAAACUGAGUGGCUAGAGUACGAAAGAGGGUCGCGGAAUUCCCGGUGUAGAGGUGAAAUUCGUAGAUAUCGGGAGGAACACCAAUGGCGAAGGCAGCUCGCUGGGACGGUACUGACGCUGAGACGCGAAAGCGUGGGGAGCAAACAGG
rnacentral:rRNA from 1 species